rnacentral:rRNA from 1 species
ACGAACGCUGGCGGCGUGCUUAACCCAUGCCAGUCGAACGGAAAGGCCCUGCUUUUGUGGGGUGCUCGAGUGGCGAACGGGUUAGUAACACGUGAGUAACCUGCCCUUGACUUUUGGAUAACUUCAGGAAACUGGGGCUAAUACCGGAUAUGAGCUCCUUCUGCAUGGUGGGGGUUGGAAAGUUUCGGCGGUUGGGGAUGGACUCGCGGCUUAUCAGCUUGUUGGUGGGGUAGUGGCUUACCAAGGCUUUGACGGGUAGCCGGCCUGAGAGGGUGACCGGAGACAUGGGGACUGAGAUACGGCCCAGACUGCUACGGGAGGCAGCAGUGGGGAAUAUUGCACAAUGGGCGGAAGCCUGAUGCAGCAACGCGGCGUGCGGGAUGACGGCCUUCGGGUUGUAAACCGCUUUCGCCUGUGACGAAGCGUGAGUGACGGUAAUGGGUAAAGAAGCACCGGCUAACUACGUG